rnacentral:misc_RNA from 1 species
UUUUUUGCUAGUGAUUAUGUAUAAAUUCCAUGUUCCCUUGUUUUAUUUAUUUUCUUUUUAUGUAUAUUCAAGAUAUUACAGCAAGGGAACAUGGAAUUUAUACAUAAUUACUAGCAAAAAAUAUGAAAAUCAAGGUGCGGAAAAACUCAGGCAGAGAAGAAUCCAUUAGAAGCUGCAAGACCAAUUUGGGUCUUAGGCUCCAAAACCCAUUUGGCGAAUUCAAUAUUCUGUUGCGUAACCUUAUUCUUAACACUCUGAGACAGGAAAGAAACACAAGAAACCCAGUUAACAACUUUCAUGGCUGAAUCUGAAUCUGAAUCUGCAGAUAACUUUCUUGAAUUCUUGACUCUCCUUUCAUACUCCUCAGCAACCAAAAGAGCAAUAUCAGCCAUUGAAAAUUUACUCUGAUAUUAUGGAAGUGGGUGAAAAGAAAG